AUUGAACGCUGGCGGAAUGCUUUACACAUGCAAGUCGAACGGCAGCACGGGGGCAACCCUGGUGGCGAGUGGCGAACGGGUGAGUAAUACAUCGGAACGUGCCCAGUCGUGGGGGAUAACGUAGCGAAAGCUACGCUAAUACCGCAUACGAUCUACGGAUGAAAGCGGGGGAUCGCAAGACCUCGCGCGAUUGGAGCGGCCGAUGGCAGAUUAGGUAGUUGGUGAGGUAAAGGCUCACCAAGCCUGCGAUCUGUAGCUGGUCUGAGAGGACGACCAGCCACACUGGGACUGAGACACGGCCCAGACUCCUACGGGAGCAGCAGUGGGGAAUUUGACAAUGGGCGAAAGCCUGAUCCAGCCA
rnacentral:rRNA from 1 species